CACGUAGGGUGCGAGCGUUGUCCGGAAUUAUUGGGCGUAAAGAGCUCGUAGGCGGUGUGUCGCGUCGGCCGUGAAAACCUGCAGCUUAACUGUGGGCGUGCGGUCGAUACGGGCAUCACUGGAGUUCGGCAGGGGAGACUGGAAUUCCUGGUGUAACGGUGAAAUGCGCAGAUAUCAGGAGGAACACCGGUGGCGAAGGCGGGUCUCUGGGCCGAUACUGACGCUGAGGAGCGAAAGCGUGGGGAGCAAACAGG
rnacentral:rRNA from 1 species